AGAGAGAGACAUGCGUGCAUAUCAAUAAGCGGAGGAAAAGAAACUAACUAGGAUUCCCUCAGUAACGGCGAGUGAAGCGGGAAGAGCUCAAAUUUGAAAUCUUCAAGGUUCUACCUUGACGAAUUGUAGUUUAAAGAAGUGUUUUCUGUUGGAGUUUUGGUAAAAGUUCUUUGGAAUAGGACAUCAUAGAGGGUGAGAAUCCCGUAUUUGACCAUUAUUUCCAGCUUUGUGAUACACUUUCAAAGAGUCGGAUUGUUUGGGAAUGCAGUCCAAAAUGGGUGGUAAAUUUCAUCUAAAGCUAAAUACUGGCGAGAGACCGAUAGCGAACAAGUACCGUGAGGGAAAGAUGAAAAGAACUUUGAAAAGAGAGUUAAACAGUACGUGAAAUUGUCAAAAGGGAAGCGUUUGACACCAGUGUUGUUUUCUCGAAAAUCAAUUAAAAAAGGCAGGAUUUUGUGUUGUAUUGACUUUAUCAGCUUUCUGCACUCUUUUCUUGUCUUUUUUAAUGCACUUUUCGUUUAACAAGUCAACAUCAAUUUCUUUUGUUGUAAAAGGGUCAUUGGAAGGUGGCUUUCUUUUCGGAGAAAGUGUUUAUAGCCUUUGGCCUCUGCAAUCGGAGAGAUUGAGGUCUGCAGCGUAGAUCCUUCGGGGUUAGAUACAUUUGUGCUGAGUUAUAGCCUUUCAUAGACAACUUGUUGACUACGAUCAGUCAUGUAGCUUACUCGCUUAUGCUAUUUUACCUACGCUUAGGAUGUUGAUGUGAUACUGCGAGCA
rnacentral:rRNA from 1 species